rnacentral:lncRNA from 1 species
AGCGAACGCCCUGCUCUCGCGCUGCGGAUUGGGACUCGGGAGAGACGCGAGAACGCUGCUGGAAGGCACUCUUUGUUGCUGUUGGAGCUGAUGCUGAUUGGAACGGAGCCGGGGAGGUACGGCUGCGCCGCGCCGCCGAACGCGUGGCCCUGCGGCUGGGCUGCGCACGGACUGGGGCACGUCCACGGGAUCGAGCUCCGGGGGUAGGAAAUGGUGGGCAGAGCCGCCAACUGACUGCCAUUAGCCCGCAAAUUGGGAAAAUAGAAGGAAUCUGGAGAUUGCAAGUUCAAGAGAGAACCAACGUAGCCAGAUCUGUAGAGACUGCGAUCACACAUUUCCAACAAAGGACUUCAGCUGUUCUUACAGCAGUAUUUAGUUACAACAGGGAAUAAGCGGAAAGCCUAAAACGAUUGGACGAAACUUUGCAGACAGGUUCUUCAAAGCCGGUAAUUUCAGCACCGCCUCCAGCCACCGAGCCACGGUGUCCCCCCCCCCUUCCUUUUUUUUUUCUUUUUCCCUCCUUUCCCCCCCUUUAUAAAAGUCUUAUGAUAACACUUGAAAUAUGAAAAUACCGGACUCGC